AUAUUCCAAUUUAUAACAGGGAACUUUCCGGUUAUAUUGUUCCCCUGUUCAUGUCCACAUGGGAAGAUGAAAGACCACAUUUGCCAUUUAUAAAGGAUGGAUAUGAACUCAGAAAACUAAUUUUGGGCCAACUAUUAACAUUCAAGGACAAUGAAUGUGAAGAUAACAUGCCUGCGGGUGUACUUGAAUUCAUCAGUUGUAUCAGGAAAAUCCAAUUUAAAUCUGGACGUGCAUGCUAUUUCUGAAGAAGGUGAUGGCCGAAAUCUGGGCCGAGACCAUCAUCUA